GAUGAACGCUGGCGGCGUGCCUAAUACAUGCAAGUCGAGCGAACGGACGAGAAGCUUGCUUCUCUGAUGUUAGCGGCGGACGGGUGAGUAACACGUGGAUAACCUACCUAUAAGACUGGGAUAACUUCGGGAAACCGGAGCUAAUACCGGAUAAUAUUUUGAACCGCAUGGUUCAAAAGUAAAAGACGGUCUUGCUGUCACUUAUAGAUGGAACCGCGCUGCAUUAGCUAGUUGGUAAGGUAACGGCUUACCAAGGCAACGAUGCAUAGCCGACCUGAGAGGGUGAUCGGCCACACUGGAACUGAGACACGGCCCAGACUCCUACGGGAGGCAGCAGUAGGGAAUCUUCCGCAAUGGGCGAAAGCCUGACGGAGCAACGCCGCGUGAGUGAUGAAGGUCUUCGGAUCGUAAAACUCUGUUAUUAGGGAAGAACAUAUGUGUAAGUAACUGUGCACAUCUUGACGGUACCUAAUCAGAAAGCCACGGCUAACUACGUG
rnacentral:rRNA from 1 species